rnacentral:rRNA from 1 species
UAGGGAAUUUUCGGCAAUGGGGGGAACCCUGACCGAGCAACGCCGCGUGAGUGAAGAAGGUCUUCGGAUUGUAAAGCUCUGUUGUGAAGGAAGAACGCGCCGGAUAGGGAAUGAUCCGGCGGUGACGGUACUUUACCAGAAAGCCACGGCUAACUACGUGCCAGCAGCCGCGGUAAUACGUAGGUGGCAAGCGUUAUCCGGAAUUAUUGGGCGUAAAGGGUGCGCAGGCGGUUUUUUAAGUUUAAGGUGAAAGCGUGGGGCUUAACCCCAUAUAGCCUUAGAAACUGGGAGACUGGAGUGCAGGAGAGGGCAAUGGAAUUCCAUGUGUAGCGGUAAAAUGCGUAGAUAUAUGGAGGAACACCAGUGGCGAAGGCGGUUGCCUGGCCUGUAACUGACGCUGAGGCACGAAAGCGUGGGGAGCAAAUA